rnacentral:rRNA from 1 species
AUGGCUCGCCGCCAGCGAGUGGAGGCUCGAGAGAUGGCCGCACUGGUGACAAGGCUGUCACUUGCUCUAGCUGCGCUCCUGUCUGGAUGCGCGGCGCAGCCGGGCAUCAGGUUCGGUUACUACGACAAGACGUGCCCGGGAGCGGAAAGGAUCGUGUUCAGGGAGACGACGAGGAUCGUCAGGGCGUCGCCGGACCUGGCCGCGUCCCUGCUCCGGCUGCACUACCACGAUUGCUUCGUGCAGGGCUGCGAUGCAUCUGUGCUGCUCGACUCCGCAGACGGGAGCCCCACGGAGAAGGAUGCCAUACCCAACGAGAGUCUCCGAGGCUUCGACGCCGUCGCGCGGGUCAAGGACAAGCUCGAGAAGGCGUGCCCGGCCACCGUCUCCUGCGCCGACCUCCUCGCGCUCAUGGCACGAGACGCCGUCGUUCUGAGCAAAGGCCCAUCCUGGCCCGUGGCGCUCGGCCGGAGGGACGGCCGGACGUCCCGCGCCGAAAACUGCGGCGAGCUGCCGCCGCUCUACGGAAACAUCACGGUCAUGAUCGAGGUGUUCGCGGCCAAGGGCCUCGAUGUCAAGGACCUCGUCGUGCUCUCGGCCGGGCACACGCUUGGGAAGGCGCACUGCUCAUCCUUCGCCGACCGCCUCUACAAUGGCAGCAUCCGCAGCACCGACCCGACCCUGGACGGAAGGUACGCCGAUAGGCUGAGAAUGCGCUGCCGCGGCCCCAGCGAUAGCAGCGCGGCAGCAGAGAUGGACGCCGGUAGCUGCGGGACAUUCGACACGAGCUACUAUCGGCAGGUGGCCAGGAGGCGCGGGCUGCUCCGGUCGGACGCCGGCCUCAUGGAGCAUCCCUUCGCCGGUGCCUACGUCCGCCGCGCCGCCACUGGCAGGUACGACGGGGAAUUCUUCCGGGACUUCCGCGUCUCCAUGGCCAAGAUGGGCGCCAUCGGCGUGCUCACCGGCAACCAAGGGAAGAUCAGGACCAAGUGCAACCUUGUCAACUGA